rnacentral:rRNA from 1 species
CGCACCUACGGGGGGCAGCAGUGGGGAAUAUUGCACAAUGGGGGAAACCCUGAUGCAGCAACGCCGCGUGGGUGAAGAAGUAUUUCGGUAUGUAAAGCUCUAUCAGCAGGGAAGAAGAUGACGGUACCUGAUUAAGAAGCCCCGGCUAACUACGUGCCAGCAGCCGCGGUAAUACGUAGGGGGCAAGCGUUAUCCGGAUUUACUGGGGGUAAAGGGAGCGCAGACGGCAGCGCAAGUCUGAAGUGAAAGCCCGGGGCUCAACCCCGGG